rnacentral:rRNA from 1 species
UACGAAGGGGGCUAGCGUUGUUCGGAAUUACUGGGCGUAAAGCGCGUGUAGGCGGGUCUUUAAGUCAGGGGUGAAAUGCCAAGGCUCAACCUUGGAACUGCCUUUGAUACUGGAGAUCUUGAGUCCGGGAGAGGUGAGUGGAACUGCGAGUGUAGAGGUGAAAUUCGUAGAUAUUCGCAAGAACACCAGUGGCGAAGGCGACUCGCUGGACAAGUAUUGACGCUGAGGUGCGAAAGCGUGGGGAGCAAACAGG